AUUGAACGCUGGCGGCAUGCCUAACACAUGCAAGUCGAGCGGAUGAAGGGAGCUUUCUCCUGGUUUCAGCGUCGGACGGGUGUGUAAUGCCUAGGAAUCUGCCUGGUAGUGGUGUAUAACGUCUUGAAACGGGCGCUAAUACUGCAUACGUCCUGAUGGAGAUGGUGGGGGGUCUUUGGACCUCAUGCUAGCAUAUGAGCCUAGGUCGGACUAGCUAGUUGGUGGGUUAAAGGCCUACCAAGCCGACGAUCCGUAACUGGUCUGAGAGGAUGAGAAGUCACACGGGAACUGAGACACGGACCAGAGUACUAAGGGAGGGAGCAGUGGGGAAUAUUGGACAGCAGGCGAAAGCCUGGUACAACGAUGCCGAGUGUGUGAAGACGGUGUUCGGAUUGUAAAGACCGUUAAGUUGGGAGGAAGGGCAGUAAGUUAAUACCUUGCUGUUUUGACGUUAAUAAGAGAAUAAGCACCGGCUAACUUCGUG
rnacentral:rRNA from 1 species